UGAGGAAUAUUGGUCAAUGGGCGAGAGCCUGAACCAGCCAAGUCGCGUGAGGGAAGACGGUCCUAUGGAUUGUAAACCUCUUUUGUCGGGGAGCAAAAAGGCCUCGUGAGGCCACAAGUGAGAGUACCCGAAAGAAAAAGCAUCGGCUAACUCCGUGCC
rnacentral:rRNA from 1 species